AUUGAACGCUGGCGGCAGGCCUAACACAUGCCAGUCGAACGGUAACAGAAAGCAGCUUGCUGCUUUGCUGACGAGUGGCGGACGGGUGAGUAAUGUCUGGGAAACUGCCUGAUGGAGGGGGAUAACUACUGGAAACGGUAGCUAAUACCGCAUAACGUGCCAGACCAAAGAGGGGGACCUUCGGGCCUCUUGCCAUCGGAUGUGCCCAGAUGGGAUUAGCUAGUAGGUGGGGUAACGGCUCACCUAGGCGACGAUCCCUAGCUGGUCUGAGAGGAUGACCAGCCACACUGGAACUGAGACACGGUCCAGACUCCUACGGGAGGCAGCAGUGGGGAAUAUUGCACAAUGGGCGCAAGCCUGAUGCAGCCAUGCCGCGUGUAUGAAGAAGGCCUUCGGGUUGUAAAGUACUUUCAGCGGGGAGGAAGGGAGUAAAGUUAAUACCUUUGCUCAUUGACGUUACCCGCAGAAGAAGCACCGGCUAACUCCGUG
rnacentral:rRNA from 1 species